UACGGAGGGGGCUAGCGUUGUUCGGAAUUACUGGGCGUAAAGCGCACGUAGGCGGAUCAGUCAGUCAGGGGUGAAAUCCCGGGGCUCAACCCCGGAACUGCCUUUGAUACUGCUGGUCUGGAGGAUGAGAGAGGCGAGUGGAAUUCCGAGUGUAGAGGUGAAAUUCGUAGAUAUUCGGAGGAACACCAGUGGCGAAGGCGGCUCGCUGGCUCAUUUCUGACGCUGAGGUGCGAAAGCGUGGGGAGCAAACAGG
rnacentral:ncRNA from 2 species